AUGGAGGGCGGCCGGGCGGGCCGCGCUGCGCGGCGGGGCCGCGCCUGGCUCUGGGUCAGCGUGGCGCUGGCCUGGGGCGCGGGCAGCGCGCUGGCGGCGGGGCCGGGGGCAGAGGAGGAGGCGGCCGGGCUGGCAGGCGCCCGGGAGCCGUGCGGGGCGGAGGGCUGGGCUCCGGGUGCCGUCCCGCCGGGCGCGGCCUUCGUCGCCGCCGCUUCAUACCGCGGUCCCGGCAACAACGACACGCGGAGCAACAAGGCUCUGCCUAUCCUGCUGUGGUGGAGCGGGAGCCUCUUUCCCCACUUCCCCGGCGACACGGAGCGGAUCGACUGCCCGCGCGGCUCCUGCCUCGUCACCCGCAGCCGGCGGGCGGCCCGGCACCGCCGCACCAAGGCGCUCAUCUUCUACGGCACGGACUUCAGGGCCUACGAGGCGCCGCUGCCCCGCCUGGCCCACCAGACCUGGGCGCUCUUCCACGAAGAGUCCCCCAUGAACAACUACCUCCUCUCCCACCCGCCCGGCAUCCAGCUCUUCAACUACACGGCCACCUUCCGCCGGGAGUCCGACUACCCGCUGACGCUGCAGUGGCUGCCCGGCGCGGAGUACCUGCGGGGCCCGGCGCUGCCGCUGGCCGAGAAGGACGCGUGGCGGCGGAAGGGCUAUGCCCCGGUGCUGUACAUGCAGUCCCACUGCGAUGUCCCCUCGGACAGGGACCGCUACGUGCGGGAGCUCAUGAAAUACAUCCAGGUUGACUCCUACGGGAAAUGCCUGCAUAACCGUGAGCUUCCCAGUGAGCGACUGAGCGACACUUCUACAGCCACUACGGAAGAUUCUGAAUUUAUGACUUUUAUUGCCAGGUACAAGUUUCAUCUGGCCAUGGAGAAUGCCAUAUGUGAUGACUACAUGACAGAGAAGCUGUGGCGUCCAAUGCACUUGGGUGCUGUUCCAGUAUACCGAGGCUCCCCAGCUGUGCGGGACUGGAUGCCAAACAACCUCUCCAUCAUUCUCAUAGACGACUUUGACAGCCCUCAAGAGCUGGCAAAGUAUCUUGAUUUCCUGGACAAGAAUGGAGAGGAGUAUAUGAAGUAUCUAGAGUAUAAAAAACCUGGUGGAGUAAAAAAUCAGUUCUUGCUAGAGAGCUUGGCGAGGCGGGAGUGGGGUGUGAAUGACAUGACUCUGCCCAAUUAUCUGAAUGGCUUUGAGUGUUUCAUCUGUGACAGGGAGAACACCCGGGUCAAAUGGGAGCAGGAACACAAAAAGUCUCAUGGGAAGAUUCCAGCUCCCAGACCUCACAUAGCUCAGUUCCAGCAUAUGGGAUGUCCUAUGCCAACCCCUGGUUUCGGAAGCGUUGAAGACCUCUCUGGAGGAGACAGUUGGAAAGAGAUGUGGCUGCAGGAUUACUGGCAAAGCCUUGAUCAGGGUGAGGCCCUCACUGCUAUGAUUCAUCGCAAUGAGUCACAUCAGGGAAGAUUUUGGGACUAUAUGCAUGAGAUUUUCCUCAAGAGAACAAGGCAACACUGACCUAUCUUUGUAAGAGCUUGAUUUGAAAACUGCAUUGAAAGCUGAGAUUAGGAAUUUUUACCUCGCUCCAAAUGUUUGCCUUGAAAUGGACUUAAAGCUUUCACAGAGACUAUUUUCUCUGGUGCAUUAAUUACUCAGGAGGCAUGAAUACCUAAAUGAACAUACCUGAUUUAGUUGUUGAAGUGGAUUACUCAAAUCACAUUAAGAUUACAGGUAUGUGUGUUCAGGAUUGAAGUGGCCACAAUGCGCUUGAGAAGUAAAUUAAGAUAAAACAAAUUAAGACUGCUCUAGUUCUGAAUGUCAACUUCUACUGAACAGUUUAAUGACAUUUAAAUAAAUUGUCUGAAUUAAUGCCUGCAGUUACCUCAGAUGAUACUCACUUCAUGUUUCUGUUCAGAAAGUCAUUCAGUCUUUGACUGCAUGGUUCUCUUGAUUAGCUGUAUCUCAAAACUUCUCUUAUUCAAGGGUUUGUUGCCAUAGUCAGAGAAAUUCUGAUCUUGCUUUUUGAACUAAACAUAAAAUAUAAGAACCAGAUACCAGCACGUUCUGCUUUUGCCAUUUUAUCCUGUAAUUUAAGUAGAUUUUCCUUAAGUGUGGGAUUUGUAACUUGAGUCACGGUAUUUGUUACAUUUAUCUGCUGUUGCCAAGACUAGACAUGUUACAUUGAAUGUAUUCUCCUUACAGGAGUAACAGGAGGUACAAACUUACGAGUAUCUAGUAAACUAGAUAAAAACUUACUCCUUGGAACCCUGAUUCAUUAAUUUGCUAAUUCACAGCCAAGUAUUCCUUCUCCACUCCUUUAUUAUCUGUACUCAAUAUUUUACACUCAACAAUCAACAAGUUUUUUGUUUGUUUUUUUUCUUAGUCCUACAGGAGGGUUUGGGGGUUUUUUGUUUUGGUUUGUUGGGUUUUUUUGUUGUAUAUGUAUGUACUGCAGAAGGCUGGUGUUUUGAGUGUCAUGACUGCUGCCAAGCCUGAGUAUUUGUGAAUGCUAUAUCCCUUCUUAAUACAAGUAUGAAAGUAACUUUAGCACAGAUAUUCUGUGGUUUUGUCUUGAG